rnacentral:rRNA from 1 species
AUGAUUUCUGGUGGUUCUUUAUCAACUGCUGUAGUGGAGGCCGAGGUCGCUAAGAUCACCUCGGCGCAGACCUCAUGGAAGUGGGUAGCCGUCCCUUAUGGAGCCAAUACUUUCUUAGUUUCCUUCCCGUUCUUGAAGAUUUGGCAGCAUGUGGCAGCUUUUGAGUACAAUGUCAAAUCCCAUGAUGUAAAGAUUGCUUUUAGUGAAUGGAAAGUUGAGGAGGCUCCAUCUCUACUUCCUUUGCAGCCAGUUUGGGUUCAUGUCACAGGUGUCUCACCACCUCUUCACCAUUUCCUUGGUCUGUGGGCAGUAGGAUCAGUUAUUGGUGCGGUCUCAAUAAUUCGGAGGAGCAGGCUAUAA